UACGGGGGGAGCAAGCGUUGUUCGGAUUUACUGGGCGUAAAGGGCGCGUAGGCGGCCAGCACAAGUCGGUUGUGAAAUCUCCGAGCUUAACUCGGAACGGUCAACUGAUACUGUUUUGCUAGAGUACAGAAGGGGCAAUCGGAAUUCUUGGUGUAGCGGUGAAAUGCGUAGAUAUCAAGAGGAACACCUGAGGUGAAGACGGGUUGCUGGGCUGAUACUGACGCUGAGGCGCGAAAGCUAGGGUAGCAAACGGG
rnacentral:rRNA from 1 species